AGACGUGGCCGAAGUGGGUCAAGUUGUAGUAUCUGUUCUUAUCAGCGUAAUAUAUAUUACGGGUUGUAUUUGGACCCAAGAUAAUAAACUUAUUUUUGCAAGUUGGCGGAGUGCUUGAAGCCUGCUUCACCUCCGCCGUGGGUCGGCCCGGUAUUUCACUAUCUUCGAGAUUUUUGGUCUACGGACA
rnacentral:snRNA from 1 species